rnacentral:rRNA from 1 species
CUGCAACUCGAGGCCCAUGAAGGUUGGGAAUCGCGAUAGUAAUCGGCAGAUCAGCAUGCUUGCGGUGAAUACGUUCCCGGGCCUUGUACACACCAGCCCGUCACACCAUGGGAGUUGGCUUUACCUGAAGGCGGUGCGCUAACCAGCAAUGGAGGCAGCCGACCACGGUAGGGUCAGCGACUGGGGUGAAGUCGUAACAACGGUAGCCGUGA